AUCCACUGACAGGGGAGCACCACGGGGUGCUGAGAGUGCGCACAGGCGCAGACCCUCGAACCUGAUCCGGUCAAUACCGGCGGAGGGAGUCGGGACAUCUCUCGU
rnacentral:ncRNA from 1 species